CGGAAACUCGGAGGCAACUCUUCGCAGGUCGGAGGUCCUGCGUGUGCGACCGAUUUCCGCACAUGCGCGGUCGGCGGCCGCCGUGCCCAUUCGACGUCUUAGGUAGCGGCGCGGCUGUUCUGCGGGCGUCCCGUGGUAGGGACACAUUUGGAGACAGAGGCUGGAGCCCUGUGUCACAGAGCUGAACACCCACACCUGGCCCAGGAAUUGGAGAAGCUGAAGGAGGUUCUAAGGGAACAUGGAGCAAUUGCAGACCCAGCCACUCCUCACAUCAAGGCCGACACCUGUGGCACAAUAUGGAGCAGAGCCCACCUGCGCCCACCAGCCCAGACACUUACCUUUUUGCGUGGCCGAAGCUUAUCCCGCCAUUCCUUCAGGUUCUGGUUAUGGCUCUCGUCCAAGGCCUUCAGCUUCUGGGUUUCAUGCUCUACCAGGAGGUGACACUUUUCAUUCUGGAACAAAUUCCAGGCGGCAGAACAGGGCCGCCUCCCGGUCUGUGGAAGACCCAGCGCCCGUUGAGGUGCCGACGGCCAGCGCCCACCCGGCCGCCUCACGGUGUAGCUGAUGACCGUGCCACCUCAGUGGACUACCCUGGACGAGCUGACUGAGCCAGCUCCUAGACACUUCGUUGAUAGCUGCAGGCUGAGCACGCUGCAGCAGGAUGGGUUCGGAGUCAGGAGCCAGAGAAACGGAGCCCUUUGCCAGGAUUUAGCACAGAAACAUCGUGAUCAUAAAGAAAACUUAGAAAAUAUACAGAGAAAAAACGGAAGAGCCUCAGGACAGUUCGACCAACUGUGACAGGUGGGCCUUAACGGGCCCCUGAUUCCAACGGCAAACUACAAAGCUGGAGACGUGAGUCCUGACUCGACUGCAAACAUGUUACAAAACAACUACUGUUGAGUAACUGAUGUCUCAGGCGCGCUGAGGGCGCUGUGCUCGUUUCUCUGAGAUACUUGAGGAUCUGCGCCCGCGUGUCCUUAGCAUUAUUCACAAUAGCCAAGGAGUGGAAACAGCUCACGCGUCCAUAGAUGGACGGACAGAAUGUGUCUUACCCCACGAAGGAACAGUAUUCAGCCCUAAAAAGAAAGGAAAUUCUUCUACAUGCUACCACAUAAAUGAAUCUUGAGGACAUUACAUUAAAUGAAAUAAGCCAGUCGCAAAAGGAAAAUUAUGAGUCCACUUAUGAGAGCAGGAAGUGGGGGCCAGGAGCUGGGGGAGGGGGCGGGUUGUUUCAUGAGCACAGAGGUCACGAGACGCCAUGGUGGGAAGAUGAGCGCAUAGCCACGGGAUGAAGGGGGCGGAGGGGCUGGCAGGGCCUUGUCUGCCCGCGGGGGGUUCUCAAAGCUCAGGGCUGUGGGAGGAGGGAGACCCCAUCAGAUGGGGAUUUUGUGUUGAUCACACUCGCUGCUGUAAGGGAGGACGGGGGACCAGCUGGGGGCUACUGU